AGAGUUUGAUCAUGGCUCAGGAUGAACGCUGGCGGCGUGCCUAACACAUGCAAGUCGAACGAAGCAUACGGACUGGAGAUUCGGUCGAAGGACCGUAUGACUUAGUGGCGGACGGGUGAGUAAUGUAUGAGCAACCUGCCUUUCAGAGGGGGACAACAGUUGGAAACGACUGCUAAUACCGCGUAACGUAUCGUGGGGGCAUCCUCGUGAUACCAAAGGAGCAAUCCGCUGAAAGAUGGGCUCAUAUCUGAUUAGCUUGUUGGCGGGGUAACGGCCCACCAAGGCGACGAUCAGUAGCCGGACUGAGAGGUUGAACGGCCACAUUGGGACUGAGAUACGGCCCAGACUCCUACGGGAGGCAGCAGUGGGGAAUAUUGGGCAAUGGGCGAAAGCCUCGACCCAGCAACGCCGCGUGAAGGAAGAAGGUCUUCGGAUUGUAAACUUCUUUUAUGAGGGACGAAGGACGUGACGGUACCUCAUGAAUAAGCCACGGCUAACUACGUGCCAGCAGCGGC
rnacentral:rRNA from 1 species